GGUAAAAAUAUUAUUUGGAUUUAAUUGAAAUUGAUUUUGGGAAAAAGGGGUGAAAAUUUAGAUUAUGGGGGUGUUUUUGAAAAGAAAAUCGGAAAUCGGGGGUCAAAACACAAUUUAGAAAAAUUGUGUCACGUCAGCACCCACCUCAGCAGCCACGUCAGCGGCCCGGUCAGCAGCCCCGGCCAACCAGGACCCGCCACGUGGCAAGGCAACGCUGACCAGGGAACAGGCCACGUGGGUGAUCCGUGUGCACGCGAUCGGACGGCCCAGAUCCGUUCCCGCGCGCAGGGACGGCCUAGAUCAAACAUGCGCAUGGACGGUCCAGAUUCACGCGUACGAACGGCUCAGAUUCAAUCAGGCACGGAUGGCCCAGAUUGCAUCGUGAUGGACGAUCCAGAUUUAAUUCCAAUUAAAUCGCGAUCGAACGGCCCAUAUUUAAUCUUGAUGGACGGUUGAGAUUAAAAGGCAAAGGGUAUAAAUAACCCCACCCACACCUGACCACAAAAACCCUAGUGCCUCGCCAGAGAAGAAGAACCAGACACCGGAGGAGCCGGCUGUCGCCACCCGGCGCCGCACCGGGGAAGUUUUUGAUCGCCUAUGGCCAAACUGGAGCCAAACCACCGGCCAAACGGCCGAAAAACCCAGCUGAAGCCCAGCGGCGCCGCCGCACCCCUCUUCAAUUUUUGCCUCCGAUGAAGCCCUUCCCGGCCUCCGUUCGAUGCAAAUUUUAUACCACUGUGAUCACAGUUCUUUUCUCUACAGGUUGAUCAUAGCCAAACAUCAAAACGCGACUCACGCUGGAGGAGCCGCCGCACCCGAGAGUACCGCCGUCGGUAAGUCUCAGUUUUUCGUAUUUUUUGGCCCACCGAGGGCCCUAGAGUUGUUUU
rnacentral:lncRNA from 1 species